ACGAACGCUGGCGGCGUGCCUAAUACAUGCAAGUCGAGCGGAGUGAUGAAGAAGCUUGCUUCUUCUGAUUUUAGCGGCGGACGGGUGAGUAACACGUGGGCAACCUACCUUGUAGAUUGGGAUAACUCCGGGAAACCGGGGCUAAUACCGAAUAAUCCAUUUUGCUUCAUGGCGAGAUGUUGAAAGACGGUUUCGGCUGUCACUAUAAGAUGGGCCCGCGGCGCAUUAGCUAGUUGGUAAGGUAAUGGCCUACCAAGGCGACGAUGCGUAGCCGACCUGAGAGGGUGAUCGGCCACACUGGGACUGAGACACGGCCCAGACUCCUACGGGAGGCAGCAGUAGGGAAUCUUCCACAAUGGACGAAAGUCUGAUGGAGCAACGCCGCGUGAGUGAAGAAGGUUUUCGGAUCGUAAAACUCUGUUGUAAGGGAAGAACACGUACGAGAGUAACUGCUCGUACCUUGACGGUACCUUAUUAGAAAGCCACGGCUAACUACGUG
rnacentral:rRNA from 1 species